UACAGAGGUCUCAAGCGUUGUUCGGAUUCAUUGGGCGUAAAGGGUGCGUAGGUGGCAGGGUAAGUCGGAUGUGAAAUCCCGGGGCUCAACCUCGGAACUGCAUUCGAUACUGCUUUGCUGGAGUACUGGAGAGGAGAUUGGAAUUUACGGUGUAGCAGUGAAAUGCGUAGAUAUCGUAAGGAAGACCAGUGGCGAAGGCGGAUCUCUGGACAGUUACUGACACUGAGGCACGAAGGCCAGGGGAGCAAACGGG
rnacentral:rRNA from 1 species